rnacentral:lncRNA from 1 species
GGGCAGCCCUCAGAGCUGUCCUGAGUGGGCUGAGGCAGCCAGCCCUGCUCUCCAGCACAGGCCUUUGGCUGUGGCCCCUCAGGGGAGGGUGUCGCCGUGGGCAGGGCUCUGUAGCUGAGGGGUCCUGGGGCGAGCUGCCAGCAGCAGCAGCACCUUCAGGAGGCUGCUGGGUCUGACGAAACGGAGAGAAGAGUGAUUAAUGGCUGGUGUCCUUGCUGCCGCCACCACAGGGAAGGAGGCUUCCAUGGCUGCCCAGGAGCCACUCCUGUGACUCCAGGCUUCAGCCUUUCAGCAGGCUUUGGGACGAGUACUUCUGGACCAAGAGGAGGCUGCGAUUCUGGAAUGGGGCCUGGAGGGAGGCUGGGGCGCUGCUCUCUUGGGAAAAUGAGAGUUUGCUCCAGGCCAGAGCGGAUCCUGUGGGAUUGCAGGCAGAAGGGAACAGAAGUUUGUGAACCACGGAGGCUUGUUGUAGAAAUUCAUGACUUUUACAUUGUGCCCUGUAAUAUGGUCCUAUGUGUCUUAGUAGAACAAUUAUGCUUUAGGUUGUGC